UGUAUGUUCCGUUUGCUUUUCUUGUUACGUUUCUCUUUUCUUCUCAAGUCUUCUUGACUCAUGAAACUCAAAAGGUCUUUUCUUAUGAUAUUAUCGAAGUACUCGGAGUGGAUGACACACGCAGAUGUAUGGGACGAUGACAUCAACCGCCUGAACGUGACGUGGCAUAUCGCUGGGGCAGCCAACUUCGAGGAAAGUGUUGAAAACUUAAAGAAAAGAACAAGGAAGAAGGAAGAACAAGCGAAAAAUCCACAAUUACUAUCAGCAAGUACACCGAGUUGUAUCAAAUAAUACCAUGGGAGUGGGUUAUCGUUCUCACAAUAAUUAACAGAUUAAGCAAGCAAUAGUUAAUUGAUUAUUCUAGUCAGACAAUAAAAUACUUUUGAACUCUUUAUUAUUAAAGCAAAGAAUGUAAACAAGAGCAAUUAUAAACGCGUAGAAGGUAAUAUGAGAGAAGAGUUAAGCUGUCAGAGAUAUUUAAAUUUCAAGAUUAACAAUUAUUGAUAUCUACUUUGAUCAUAUAUAAAUGUGAUUUAUGA